AAAGCGAAAGUAACAACACGGUGCAUUCCAAACGGGAUAUAUCGCCCUCCGAAGGGCACUUGAGAGUGAAAACAUUCAUGGCCGCCAUAUUGAAGGGUCGUUCCAAACCGAAGUGCUCAAAACUGGCCACUUCAAAGGAUUAGGGCGGAGGGAUGAGCCCUUCCGAAUGGAGCGCAGGGAGGGAUACUGCGUAAACAUGUUUCCCACUGGAUUUGAUCCAUGCGCAGGAGUUUUUUAAUACUUAUAAAUUCUCUUCUUAGUGGACAAGACUGCAAAUGAAGAAUCUUCCAGAAAUUACAAUCUUUUGAAGGCCACGGAUGAUAAAACAUGAAGUUUAGUUAGAAAGAGUUGUUGAAAACAAAGUAAGAUCAGACUCACAUGUGUCCAGCUCUGUGUCUCUGAAGAGUGACCGGUCAAAAGAAGAACCACCAAACUUCAGUGGGGAAAAACCAUCAUCUGUUAAAAGAGUAAGAUCAGACUCACAUGUGUCCAGC